UGGGGAAUAUUGGACAAUGGGCGAAAGCCUGAUCCAGCAAUGCCGCGUGAGUGAUGAAGGCCUUAGGGUUGUAAAGCUCUUUUACCCGGGAAGAUAAUGACUGUACCGGGAGAAUAAGCCCCGGCUAACUCCGUGCCAGCAGCCGCGGUAAUACGGAGGGGGCUAGCGUUGUUCGGAAUUACUGGGCGUAAAGCGCACGUAGGCGGCUUUGUAAGUUAGAGGUGAAAGCCUGGAGCUCAACUCCAGAAUUGCCUUUAAGACUGCAUCGCUUGAAUCAUGGAGAGGCGGGUGGAAUUCUGAGUGUAGAGGUGAAAUUCGUAGAUAUUCGGAAGAACACCAGUGGCGAAGGCGGCCCGCUGGACAUGUAUUGACGCUGAGGUGCGAAAGCGUGGGGAGCAAACA
rnacentral:rRNA from 1 species